rnacentral:rRNA from 1 species
GUGAGUAACGCGUGGGCAACCUGCCCCCAAAGCUCGGGAUAACACUCCGAAAGGAGUGCUAAUACCGGAUGUAGUUGCGGUACUGCAUGGUACUGCAAAAAAAGGAGAAAUCCACUUUGGGAUGGGCCCGCGUCUGAUUAGCUAGUUGGUGGGGUAACGGCCUACCAAGGCGACGAUCAGUAGCCGACCUGAGAGGGUGAUCGGCCACACUGGGACUGAGACACGGCCCAGACUCCUACGGGAGGCAGCAGUCGGGAAUAUUGGUCAAUGGGGGAAACCCUGAACCAGCAAUGCCGCGUGAGUGAUGAAGGUUUUCGGAUCGUAAAGCUCUGUCUUUGGGGACGAAUAAAUGACGGUACCCGAGGAGGAAGCCCCGGCUAACUACGUGCCAGCAGCCGCGGUAAUACGUAGGGGGCGAGCGUUGUCCGGAAUUACUGGGCGUAAAGGGCGAGUAGGCGGUUUAAUAAGUCAGAUGUGAAAUGCCAGGGCUCAACCCUGGAACUGCAUUUGAAACUAUUAGACUUGAGUGCAGGAGAGGAAAGUGGAAUUCCCAGUGUAGCGGUGAAAUGCGUAGAUAUUGGGAGGAACACCAGUGGCGAAGGCGACUUUCUGGACUGUAACUGACGCUGAGGCGCGAAAGCGUGGGGAGCAAACAGGAUUAGAUACCCU